rnacentral:rRNA from 1 species
UAGGGAAUCUUCCACAAUGGACGCAAGUCUGAUGGAGCAACGCCGCGUGAGUGAAGAAGGUUUUCGGACCGUAAAGCUCUGUUGUUGGUGAAGAAGGAUAGAGGUAGUAACUGGCCUUUAUUUGACGGUAAUCAACCAGAAAGUCACGGCUAACUACGUGCCAGCAGCCGCGGUAAUACGUAGGUGGCAAGCGUUGUCCGGAUUUAUUGGGCGUAAAGCGAGCGCAGGCGGAAGAAUAAGUCUGAUGUGAAAGCCCUCGGCUUAACCGAGGAAUUGCAUCGGAAACUGUUUUUCUUGAGUGCAGAAGAGGAGAGUAGAACUCCAUGUGUAGCGGUGGAAUGCGUAGAUAUAUGGAAGAAUACCAGUGGCGAAGGCGGCUCUCUGGUCCGCAACUGACGCUGAGGCUCGAAAGCAUGGGUAGCGAACAGGAUUAGAUACCCUGGUAGUCCAUGCCGUAAACGAUGAGUGCUAAGUGUUGGGAGGCUUCCGCCUCUCAGUGCUGCAGCUAACGCAUUAAGCACUCCGCCUGGGGGAGUACGACCGCAAGGUUGAAAC